GUACUUGGCAUUCUCAUUUCGCAGACGAUUCCCGAUUUCACCAAUACCGAACUAAUUACAGAAAGCAACAUAUUUGGAAAUUGUGGAUUUCAUUUAGUAAGAAGCAUGCAAAUGAAAUUGGACAACACUAACCAUCCACAGUUAGAUUCUAAUAGUUUAAAGCGUUCAUCUAAAGCUUGGUGGCAUGCUACGGGGAAUAAUGUUGUCUUCUCAAAUAUGUUAGAGGAAAGAACGGAGAAUGUGUCUCCAUCAAAAUACAUGGAUGGUGGCUUUGGGGGUGAAGCUACAAAAUCACAAGCGAAGCAUCAGGUUGAUGAGGGGAUUGAUGCUAAUAAAGAAAUGCAAUUCACUGUAUUGUCCCAAUCAGAUGGAAAACAUGGUGAAGAACAUCAACAUCCACAACAUUUUGUGAACAUUACGUCUCCAACAAUGGUUGAAUACUUUGUAUCACCUACCCAACCAAACCUUGUUGGCCACUCAUUUGUCCAUUCUCAUUAUCCUGGAGCCCACCCCUCUAGAAUGGUGUUGCCUCUUGAAAUGAAAGAAGAACCUGUUUAUGUAAAUGCAAAG
rnacentral:misc_RNA from 1 species